GACGAACGCUGGCGGCGUGCUUAACACAUGCAAGUCGAACGGAAAGGCGCUGCUUUUGUGGGGUGCUCGAGAGGCGAACGUGUGAGUAACACGUGAGUAACGUGCCCUUGACUGUGGGAUAACUUCAGGAAACUGGGGCUAAUACAGGAUAGGAGCGCCUGCUGCAGGGGGGGGGUUGGAGAGUUUCGGCGGAGGGGGAUGGACUCGCGGCUUAUCAGCUUGUUGGUGGGGUAGUGGCUUACCAGGGCAUUGACGGGUAGCCGGCCUUAGAGGGUGACCGGCCACCUUGGGCCUAAGAUGCGGCCCAGACUCCUACGAGAGGCAGCAGUGGUGAAUAUUGCACCACGGGCGGCAGCCUGCUGCCGCAACGCCGCGUGCGGGAUGACGGCCUUCGAGUUGUCGACCGCUUUCGCCUGUGACGAAGCGUCAGUGACGGUAAUUGGUAAAGAAGCACCGGCUAACUCCGUG
rnacentral:rRNA from 1 species